GAAAAAUCGACUGACCCUCCACAGAAAUAAAGGGGGAGGGGGUGGUCACAUGUGGCCAUUUUUUAUCCAGGGAAAUGUUAGAAUCUUAUGGGAGGUAAAACAAUAUUCAUUGGAAUCAGAAAGCGAAUGUCCUUGACGGAAAAUUGCCGAGCUGAUUUAACUUCGAGUCGAUGUCUUUGUACUGGAUUUGGUCAUCCUCCGAGGAUCGAGUAAAAUGGGCUUUCCGCCUGAGCUGAUCUGUAUAUAACAAUACUAUGAAAGUUGGCAACUUAAUUUCUCAAAAUAGUUUUACUCUGAAAUGAUAUUUGACAGUAUAUUUUAAUCAUUUAUGUGUUUCCGUCCAGUAGGUACGAAGCUCAGAGGGGACAUAUGAGUUUUAUUUUUAUAUUUCUCGUGGCCACGAGAUUAAAAAGGAAAAAAAGCUAUCUCGUGGCCACGAAAUAAUUUAAAAACAGAAACGAAGCUAUCUCGUGGCCACGAGAUAUAAAAGUUAAUUCAUGGUCACGAGAUAACAUUUUUUUUUCUUUUUUAUAUCUCGUGGCCACGAAUUAACUUUUCUGUUUUUUGUUUUUUUCUUUUUUAUAUCUCGUGGCCACGAAUUACUUUUCUGUUUUUUGUUGUUUUUUUUUUUUUUUUAUAUCUCGUGGCCACGAGAUAACUUUUUGUUUUUCGUUGUUGCUUUUUUAUAUCUCCGUGGCUACGCGAUAAUAUAAAAAUAAAACUCACAUGUCCCCUCUGAGCUUCCGUAAGUAGGCGACAAAAAUGCCCUCCCUGAUAAGGUUGUAAGAUACCAGUGGUGCCUGUGGUCGCAUUCCUCAUAACCAGUAAAAUAGGAUCACAUUCUGCACAGGGGUGUGAACAAUAUAAGGUACAACAGAGCGGGCCAUUAAUUUCACAAGUUUAUCAUACAAAGAACAUACGAAUAAAUUUAAACGAUAGAAAUUACUCCUUAGAUAUGCUUUGCUGAACAACUAUUCAAAAUAAAGAUGUAUACAGUUAUGCAAUAUUCACCUGUAUAAAAUGACAUAACGUGCAACAUAAAACAUUAAAAUUAAUACAUGUAUUGACAAAGAAGGCUGGCGAGAUGUACCCAGAAUAAAAAUAUUGUUUGAGGGCCAGUAAAUAAGUAAGAGGAAGGAAGGAAGGAAGGAAUGAAGGAAGGAAGGAAGUAGAAGUAAGUGAAGAAGUAAGUAAGUAAGUAAAGAAGUAAAUAUGUAAGGAAGGUAAGAAGUAAGUAAAUUAAGAAGUAAAUAAGUAAGGAAGGAAGUAAAGAAGUAAGUUAGGAAGUAAGGAAGGAAGUAAAGAAGUAACUAAGAAAGUAAGUAAAGAAGGAAGUAAGGAAGGAAGUAAAGAAGCAAUUAAAUGAGUAAUUAAUUACAAAAAGUAACGAAGUAAGGAAGAAAGUAAAGAAAUAAAAAUAUAUGUAAGGAAGGAAGUAAAUAAGCAAGGAAUGAAGUAAAGAAGUAAAUAAUUAAGUAAGUAAGGAAGUAAAUAAGGAAGGAAGGAAGUAAGGAAGGAAGUAAAAAAGUAAAAACGUAAGUAAGUAAGAAAGUAAACAAAGAAGUAAGUAAGUAAGUAAAGAGGUAAAUAAAUAAGGAAGGAAGUAAAGAAGUAAGUAAGGAAGGAAGGAAGAAAGUAUGUAAGGAAGUAAAUAAGUAAGAAAAGAAGUGAAGAAGGAAGUAAGGAAAGAAUGAAGUAAAGUAAGGAAGGAAGGAAGUAAAGUUGUAAGGAAAGAAUGAAGUAAAGAAGUAAGUAAAGUAAGGAAGGAAGCAAGCAAGUAAAGAAGGAAGGAAGGAAGGAAGGACGGAACAAAGGAAGGAAGGAAAUAAGUAAGUACUUCAUUAUAGCGGUAUUUGUAAAGGUCUGUGAAGCUGGCUAGAAGAUGGGUAUUGGGAGUUGGAUAUUCAAUAUUUAGUUACGUUAUAAUUCCCAGCCAGCUCUGAGUUGGAUAUUCAAACGAUCUAUCCACAACACAUAAAAAAUGAACAUACGAAUAAAUUUAAACGUUAGAAAAUACUCCUUCCGUUAAGUGUAAAAAGAGAGAUAUGCUUUGCUAAACAACUAUUUAAAUUAAAGAUGUAUACAGUUUUGCAGUAUUCACCUGUAUAAAAUGAUAUUACAUGCAACAUAAAAAUUAAUAUUGACAAAGAAUGCAGGCGAGAUGUGCACCAGAAAAAAUAAUAUUGUCUGAGGGCCAGUAAAUAAGUAGGAAGGAAGGAAGGAAAUAUUUAAGGAAUGAAAGAAAUAUGUAAGGAAGGAAAGACGUAAGUAAAUUAAGAAAUAAAUAAGUAAGGAAAGAAGUUAAGAAGUAAGUAAGGAAGUAGGUAAAGAAGUAAGGAAGUAAAGAAGUAACUAAGAAAGUAAGUAAAGAAGUAAGUAAUGAAGCAAUUAAAUGAGUAAUUAAGUAAAACAGUAACGAAGUAAGGAAGAAAGUAAAGAUAUAUGUAAGGAAGGAAGUAAGUAAGUAAAUAAGCAAGGAAUGAAGUAAAAAAGUAAAUAAGUAAUGAAGGAAGUAAGUGAGUAAGUAGGGAAGUAAAUAAGGAAGGAAAGAAGUAAAGAAGAAAGUAAGGAAGGAAGUAAACAAAGAAGUAAAUAUGUAAGGAGGGAAUUAAAGAAGUAUGUAAGGAAAUAAGUAAAGAAGUAAGUAAGUAAUAAAGUAAGAAAGGAAGGAAGUAUGUAAGGAAGUGGAUAAUAAGAAAGGAAUGAAGAAGGAAGAAAGGAAAGAAUGAAGUAAAGUAAGUAAGGAAGGAAGUAGUAAGGAAGAAAGGAAGUAAGGAAAUGAAGUAAAGAAGUACUUAAAGUAAGGAAGGAUGAAAGCUGGGUAUUCACCUCUGGCUUUAUAUUCGUUUUAGGUAAUUUGAAUACCCAAUUCAGAGCUGGCUGGGUAUUCACCUCUGGUUAGAUAUUCGUCUUAUAUAUUUGAAUACCCAAUUGAGAGCUAACUGGGUAUUCAACCCUGGCUGUGAAUUCAGUUUUCUUAACCAGAGAUGUCUUAGGUAAUUUGAAUACCCAACUCAGAGCUAGCUGAAUAUUCAUCUCUGGCUGGAUAUUCGUCUUAGGUAAUUUGAAUACCCAACUCAGAGCUAGCUGGGUAUUCGAUCCUGGCUGUGUAUUCAUUUUUCUUAUGUGGCGUGAAUACUCAGCUUAUUGCUAGCUGUGUAUUCACCUCUGGCAGGUAAUUUGAAUACCCAACUCAGAGUUAACUGGGUAUUCGAUUUGGCUGUGUAUUCAUUUUAUUUGGCGUGAAUACCCAACUCAGAGCUAGCUGUGUGUUCAUCUCUGGCUGGAUAUUAGCGUUAGAUCGUUUGAAUACCCAACUCAGAGCUGGCUGGGAAUUAGAACAUAACUAGCUCCCAAUACCCAUCUCCCUGCCAACUUCGCAGACCUUCAGUUAGUCUAUUUUAUUAUAGUAUAUAGCGCAUUUUUAUAACUGUUAGCUAUAGUGGCUGAUUUACGCCAUUUCUUUGUUUCGUUUUUCCCCCACAUAACGUCGUUAUUGCCCCCGUCAAACUUCGCCCCGGUUGGAGAUCACCAGUUGUUUUCCCAUAGACUUCCUUUAUAACAUUAUGGCGUGUACGGCAUUGCAUAAAUCGAAAACGUAUAUAUCUAAUCACAAUUUUUUUCAAGAACUAUCUUAGUUCCACCAAAAUAACGAAUGAAAAACGUAAAAAUAGUGAUAUUUUAUUUGAGUAUUUUUCGUGUGAACGAUGUGACUCUGUGUUUAUAUCGUGGCAUGGCGGGAGAAAAUCGUUUAAUGAAACUUUUUUUUCAAUACGCUUCAAAUGUAGCAAAUAUUGUCAAAAUAUGUAUUUAGAUACGGACUAAACCUUACCCUAUUCCUAGUAAGUUCUCUGUACUUUUUUGAAUUGGUGGAAUCUGACACCCGCCGAACAUCGCCCCGCCAAACGUUGCCCCGCCGAACGUCGUCCAACCAAACAUCGCCCCGCCGAACGUCGCCCGGCUAUCACACAGGGCAAUGUGAGGUGAUGCCUUUAAGUCAAAGGUCAAGAUCUGUUGAUUCAGUGCAUGAAAAGGUUGAGCUUAUUGUCCCCCGCCCUUUUCGAAGAAAAAAGAGGGACAAAGGCAUAGGUUGCCUCCGUCAUUCCGUCCGUCCGUACGUCACUCUUUGUGUCCGGUCCAUAACUCUCUGAAGGGAUUAUGAAAUAACUUGGCACAAAUGUUUCCCAUAAACAGACGACGUGUCAUACACAAGACCCAGACCCCUAGCUCCUAGGUCAAGGUCACACUUAGAGGUCAAAUGUUAGGUAAAUAACUCUGCCAUUCAUCAAGGGAUUUCAAAAUUACUUGACACAAAUGUACCCAUUAUGAGACGACGUGUCAUGCGUAAGACCCAGUCCCCUAGCUCAAAGAUAAAGGUCACACUUGGAGGUCACAUGUUCAGAGCAUCAGUUUCAGUCCAGUUCAUAGCUCUGCCAUUCAUGAAGGGAUUUUAAAAUCACUUGGCACAAAUAUUCCCUGUAAUAAGACAAUAUGUCACGGACAAGACCCAGACCCCUGUCUCAAAGGUCAAGGUCACAUGUAGAAGUCAAAGAUAAUAGGUUUUUUUGUCUGGUCAGUAUCUUUACUUUGCAUGGAUGGAUAUACAAGUAACUUGACAUAAACAGUCACCAUAACAAAUUGAUUUGUUGCAUACAAGACUCAGACUCAAGGUCAAUGUCACUUUUGGAGAUAAAACAUUUUUGACAUUUUUUUUUCUGGUCUGUAACCUUUCUAUGCUUGGGAGUAUAUUUAAAUAACUUGGCAUGAAUAUUUACCAUUACAAGACAGUAUCCCAGUAAACACCUGACGUCGUACCGACGUUGGUUAGACGUUGGAUUUUGGUCGCGACGUCGGCGACCUGAAUCCAACGUCUAACCAACGUCAUAACCACGACGUCUAAUUGACGUCAGACUUUGACGUCUAGGAGACGUUGGAUUUAGGUUGGAUAGAAAGUCUGUUUACAUAUUUUUAGUUAUAAAAUUAACUUGUUUAAUUUUGCUAGUAUAGUUUAAAGAUAUUUAUGCCUGAACAUGCGCUUAUAAAUAAAUAGAUCAUUCGCACAUCAAACAUUAUUAUUAAUUAUGUUACAAAAUCGCACGAGAUUGUCUAUUUUCGGAAACGGAAUUUUUUUACCAAUUUAAAACUGUUCAGGAAAAAAUUGCAUUCUAUACACAUAUUUAAAUUAUUCUAAAUUCACCUAAGGAUCUUCUUCUACACAUGUUGUUUAUUAGCCAUGCUUUCGCGAGAUAAGCCUGCAUCGGUCUACACAAGUCUUCCGGUGGAAAAUUUAGCGGAGUUGAAGAAUCAUGCAAACGUGACAAAACUUGAAAGUUUCAAUUACUGGAUUACGUUUAUGGAUUUAUAAUAUUAGGCUUAUGUCGCUAUAAUGUGAAAUAAAGAUGAUUAAAUACA